GGGCUAUGGAGAGUGAAUCCAACGUGUGCAAUAAGGACCUGUGGGGGCCCCAAACCGGGCUACCAGCUCCUCACCAACCAGCUGCAGCGCCUCUGCAUGGUGCUAGACGUCUACCUGGAGACAGAGCCCCACGACACCACUGUGGAGGGACCCAAAGAGUUCCCCCAGGAGAAGAUGUGCCUGCGCCUGGUCAGGGGCCCCAUGCGCUUGAAGCCGUUCAAGUUCAACUACCCUCAGGGGUUCUUCAGCCACCGCUGAGUCCUGCUGGGCUCCCCUGCCUGGGCACUGCUCUGGGACCCAGCCUCAUCCUGUCUGCGGUGUUCCCUUCCCAUCAUUUCAGUUUUUUUUAAUGAUAUUUUGGGUCUUGUGUUUGAGGUUUUGUAACUGAAGGGAUUAAAU
rnacentral:misc_RNA from 1 species